AACCUUAUGGACCUGCGGGCGUAUACCUGCGGAGGGAUCAUUACCUAGAGUAUUGUAGGCUUUGUCCUGCUGUCUCUUACCCAUGUUUUUUGAGUACUUACGUUUCCUCGGCGGGUUCGCCCGCCGGCUGGACAAUUUAAACCCGUUGCAGUUGCAAUCAGCGUCUGAAAAACUUUAAUAGUUACAACUUUUAACAAUGGAUCU
rnacentral:misc_RNA from 1 species